rnacentral:rRNA from 1 species
GUCCACUCCGUGCAAGCGGCCUGGGUAAUGGGUAGGGGUGGGGCGUUGGCCGGAAUGAAUGGGCGUAAAGAGCGGGUAGGCGGUUCGUCGGGUCGAUUGUGAAAACUUGCAGCUCAACUGCAAGCUUGCAGUCGAUACGGGCGGACUAGAGUACUUCAGGGGAGACUGGAAUUCCUGGUGUAGCGGUGAAAUGCGCAGAGAUCAGGAGGAACACCGGUGGCGAAGGCGGGUCUCUGGGAAGUAACUGACGCUGAGAAGCGAAAGCGUGGGUAGCGAACAGGAUUAGAUACCCCAGUAGUC